AUGACGACGUCGACUGCCUGCUCCAUCACCAUGCUCAUGGCCACCGUCAUCCUGAUGGCGGCCUCGACCCUCUCCGCCGCUGCCGGCCGGUGCAACGUCCGGAAGGAUCUCGUCAUAUGGCAGAGCCUCGGCGAGCCUCAGAGGGACCUCUCGGCGAGGUACAGGGUGGAGGUGGUGAACCAGUGCAGCGGCGACGGGCGCACCGGCAGGCCCUGCUCCAUGUCGAAGAUCCACCUGCGGUGCGGCAACUUCCGCUCCCUCAUCCCCGUCGACCCCAAGCUGCUCCGGCGCAUCGGCUCGGGCGUCUGCCUCCUCAACAACGGCCACUCCAUCCCGCAGAACGGCAACGUCUCCUUCGUCUACGCCAACUACCGGCGCAACAACCUCUACGUCCGAUCGGCCAGAUGCAAUUGA
rnacentral:rRNA from 1 species